GACGAACGCUGGCGGCGUGCUUAACACAUGCAAGUCGAACGGAAAGGCCCUGCUUUUGUGGGGUGCUCGAGUGGCGAACGGGUGAGUAACACGUGAGUAACCUGCCCUUGACUUUGGGAUAACUUCAGGAAACUGGGGCUAAUACCGGCUAGGAGCUCCUGCUGCAUGGUGGGGGUUGGAAAGUUUCGGCGGUUGGGGAUGGACUCGCGGCUUAUCAGCUUGUUGGGGGGGUAGUGGCUUACCAAGGCUUUGACGGGUAGCCGGCCUGGGAGGGUGACCGGCCACAUUGGGACUGAGAUACGGCCCAGACUCCUACGGGAGGCAGCAGUGGGGAAUAUUGCACAAUGGGCGGAAGCCUGAUGCAGCAACGCCGCGUGCGGGAUGACGGCCUUCGGGUUGUAAACCGCUUUCGCCUGUGACGAAGCGUGAGUGACGGUAAUGGGUAAAGAAGCACCGGCUAACUACGUG
rnacentral:rRNA from 1 species